UACGGGGGGGGCAAGCGUUGUUCGGAAUUACUGGGCGUAAAGGGCGCGUAGGCGGCCUGCUAAGUCGGACGUGAAAUCCCUCGGCUCAACCGGGGAACUGCGUCCGAUACUGGCGAGGCUUGAAUCCGGGAGAGGGAUGUGGAAUUCCAGGUGUAGCGGUGAAAUGCGCAGAUAUCAGGAGGAACACCGGUGGCGAAGGCGGUUCUCUGGGCCUGACCUGACGCUGAGGAGCGAAAGCGUGGGGAGCGAACAGG
rnacentral:rRNA from 1 species